rnacentral:lncRNA from 10 species
CUUCCAAAAGAACAGAAAAGACCAUGACAGCAUUCUUCUGGUUAAAACCUUAUAAGCAAGAAGAAAAUUGAUGGUGUCUGUAAAGUGUUGGAAGAAAAGCCAGCCCAUUAUUUGAUAACCCAUGGAUGUUCGCUAUGAAGUGAAAAAAAAAAACAGUUCUAUUUCUCUUUGACAGCAUGAGGGGCUCAAUGAAUCCAUGCCCUCAUGAGACCAGUGAAAAUUAUUUUGGGAAAUUACAGGUUUGGAAAGACUCUAACAGCACACACUCAGCAUGAUGUAAACUCCACUGCGGACAGAUGCAGCCAAGAAGACAGGACACCUUCUACCAACUCCCACCAGAGGAAACGCUUUCCCAGGGGCCAGUACGUUGGCCCUCUGACCCUGCACACAGCACAUGAUGCUGAGGUUCAGUGCUGGACGAGAGCUACUGAGAGCCAGAGACUCACUUCUUCCAUAGAGCCCCACUCGUGGAUGGAGGCUCUGCCCUGGGUCCAGUGCCACUGGGAACAUUCAGUCCGCGGUUUCUAGCUCUGCCCUAUGGCACCGAUUCCGCCCCACCAGAACCAAAGUGCUGGGAUGGUGGGAAGCUUCUGCCCAACCCUCCAAUUAGCGCUCAUCUCCUAGGCUGAGGAAGAAAAAAGCUCAACUUCGUCUCCACCUGCAGAAACUUGGUUAUGCACUCUGUCCCAGGAGAGAAGGGGCACUGGAAUUCAGUCAUAAAAUAUGAUCCUUAAGUUGGUCCUAAACAUCCUAACUUCAAUAACAACAGAAUGCGGAAAAGUUCAAAGCCUGCCUGUGCUCUCAGAAACAGUGGAGGGUGUGGGGGAAGGUGCUUGGAGGGAGAUGGGUGGAUGCACGGGAGAUGCAGGCUAAACUGCAGGGCUGCUGGCUUGCAGGAGAGAACCGAGGAGGUGGGAGAGCUGAGGGACGUUCUCUUGUGGUUGGAACAAAUGCCGGACGCUGUUCAAAGGAGCCCGUGUUUGUUUCGUUCAGUCUGUGAAGCAGUUCAAACCUCACUGCAUGGUUGAAAAUAGGAUUUUCCAUCUGCAAGUGGUGGAGCUCAAUAUCUGGGUCUGGUCAGGAAAGAGACACAGAAAGUCCAGCCCAAACCACUGACACCUGAGGAUGACCGUGGUGCUUACAGCUGUGUCCCUUUGAUCUUUGAGACUGGCUUCUCUCACUUAGCACAAUGUCUGGAGUUCACCUGUAAUAGUUUAUGUAUCGGUCACUUGUUAUUUUUUUAUUGCUGGUGGUAUUCAAUUUAUAGAUGCUUCCUAGUUCUUCACCUAUUCAAAUUUUGAGACAUUUAUGUUAUUUUUACUUUCUAACAC